rnacentral:rRNA from 1 species
UACGGGGGGGGCAAGCGUUGUUCGGAAUUACUGGGCGUAAAGGGCUCGUAGGCGGCCAUCUAAGUCAGACGUGAAAUCCCUCGGCUUAACUGGGGAACUGCGUCUGAUACUGGAUGGCUUGAAUUCGGGAGAGGGAUGCAGAAUUCCAGGUGUAGCGGUGAAAUGCGUAGAUAUCUGGAGGAAUACCGGUGGCGAAGGCGGCACCCUGGACCGACACUGACGCUGAGGAGCGAAAGCUAGGGGAGCAAACAGG